GGGUCAGUAGGUUGGUCGUGCCACCGGUACGUACUGGUCUCACUGAUUCCUCCUUCCUGAAGAACCGUAAUGCCAUUAAUUUGGUGUUGCGGGGAAACAGGACUGUUACUUUGAAAAAAUUAGAGUGUUUAAAGCAAUCUAACGCUUGAAUACAUUAGCAUGGAAUAAUGAAAUAGGACGAUCGAUCCUAUUUUGUUGGUUUCUAGGAUUGACGUA
rnacentral:rRNA from 1 species